GGAGGGUAUAGCUCAGUGGUAGAGUGUGUGCUUAGCAUGCACGAGGUCCUGGGUUCAAUCCCUAGUACCUCCA
rnacentral:tRNA from 1 species